UACGUAGGGUGCAAGCGUUGUCCGGAAUUAUUGGGCGUAAAGAGCUCGUAGGCGGCUUGUUGCGUCGACUGUGAAAACCCGUGGCUCAACCAUGUGGUCUGCAGUCGAUACGGGCAGGCUAGAAUUCGGUAGGGGAGACUGGAAUUCCUGGUGUAGCGGUGAAAUGCGCAGAUAUCAGGAGGAACACCGGUGGCGAAGGCGGGUCUCUGGGCCGAUAUUGACGCUGAGGAGCGAAAGCGUGGGGAGCGAACAGG
rnacentral:rRNA from 1 species